rnacentral:rRNA from 1 species
AUGGGAACGCGAAGAACCUUACCUACUCUUGACAUCCAGAGAACUUUCCAGAGAUGGAUUGGUGCCUUCGGGAACUCUGAGACAGGUGCUGCAUGGCUGUCGUCAGCUCGUGUUGUGAAAUGUUGGGUUAAGUCCCGCAACGAGCGCAACCCGUUAUCCUUUGUUGCCAGCGGUUAGGCCGGGAACUCAAAGGAGACUGCCAGUGAUAAACUGGAGGAAGGUGGGGAUGACGUCAAGUCAUCAUGGCCCUUACGAGUAGGGCUACACACGUGCUACAAUGGCGCAUACAAAGAGAAGCGACCUCGCGAGAGCAAGCGGACCUCAUAAAGUGCGUCGUAGUCCGGAUUGGAGUCUGCAACUCGACUCCAUGAAGUCGGAAUCGCUAGUAAUCGUAGAUCAGAAUGCUACGGUGAAUACG